UACGGAGGGUGCAAGCGUUGUCCGGAAUCACUGGGCGUAAAGGGCGCGUAGGCGGCUCAUGAAGGCUGUGGUGAAAGUCCGGGGCUCAACCUCGGAUCGGCCCGUGGCGACUCGUGGGCUGGAGCACUGUAGAGGCGGGUGGAAUUCCGGGUGUAGCGGUGGAAUGCGUAGAGAUCCGGAAGAACACCAGUGGCGAAGGCGGCCCGCUGGGCAGUGGCUGACGCUGAGGCGCGACAGCGUGGGGAGCAAACAGG
rnacentral:rRNA from 1 species